GCCUUCACCCACGCAGUUUUCACCACGAUGGAGGAGUGCCCACACUUCCAGGACCUUACUGUUAAGAGGUUCCUGAAGACCCUACUUGAGCACAACCGCCGAGACAUUCUCUCCAAGCUGGAGAAGUUUGUGCGCCUGAGUGAGUCGCUUCAGUGUCUUGGCGAACAUAACAACAUGAGAACAUGAGGGGAGCUGCAAGGAGCCAUCAGGCCUGCACAUGGCACUUCCUGAAUUGAAUGUGUCUAGCUAUUUCUACUUAUCCCUAUCCCUAGAUUUGUGUAUCUUCUUUUAAAAUCUCCCUAGUGACUCAGCACUAACAACCUGAUUACUGAGUCUAUUCUUUUCAUCCACCACUCUUUGAGAAUUAGUUCCUUGCACUCUGCUGCUUUGACUGGCCACUACUGCAUGAGCCCGUCUUGACUCCCUGACAUCUCAGUCACUUGAUUCAAAUGUCUGAUUAAUUAGUUAUAAUAAAUCAAUUGGAAGUUUGUUUGAUAAGACUGUGGGCCUGUGUAGCCAUGGAAGAUAUUGACUAUUGAAAUCUUGAGAACACUGUGUUGAAAUCUGUCACAUUAUUCACAGAGCCAGGGAGUGAUGCUGCUAAGACCUUCACUCUGUCUAUCCAGAGGGAUCCGCAGGUGCUGGUGGUGGAAUCUUGCUUGGACAGUGUGAUGGCAAGCAGUCAGGGUUCCAGUCAAAGGUGGUGGUGAUCCAUGCCCAGGACACCAGGGAGGAUGCACUGCAGCUUGCAUCUCAGCUGAGGAAUCCCAUGGAGGGCAACAGAUUGUAUGUGUUGCUUCUGCAAGAGUCUAAGAAGAACACACAAGUUAAGAGCAGCCUGAGGUGUGAUCCAUGGAACAGCAUCCACAAGUGGUUCAUCAAGGUUGACGCUGUGCUGCCGGUACUGUCGCCUCAGCUUCUGCGUCAGAUUCAGAACAGAGACUUCAGCAGAGAGAGUGAGUGGGAGAAACGCUACAACCGCUUUGCCCACUCGAUGAUGCUAGACCAGCAUGUGGAGUACAGGAGCAAGAAUGGGUUCUGCCGUGCCGUUUGUCCUGCCAGAUUCCCGGAGGAGACACACUUCAGUCACAAGAUGAAUGCAGUCAGCUACAGCAUGACAUAGACAAGCUAUAGACAGUUGAGAGAGGAAGAAGUCAGUGGCACCCUCACCUCAGACAAGACAAAGCUAACAAUUGAUAAUGAAAGACCAGCAGCAGCAGCAGCAGCAGCAGCAGCAGCAGCAGCAGCAGCAGCAGCAGCACACAAGAGGUGUUUUCUGUAUGAUGAUGAUAAUGGAAAAAGCAUGUUAUAAGCAGGGCAACGUAAUGAAAUUCAGUGAAUGGACGUGUGUGCGUGGCUGCAAUCACUAUGAAAUUAAGUUGAAAAUAAGAAAUAUAUUACUUUACAGAAAGGAAUGCUUAGAGUGAAUGAAAUUACUGUAAUGAAUGAAUGGAAAUAAAGUUGUGAGUCAUUAAAUGAUUAGGAAAAGAAGCUGUGAAUAGGUGCAUUAUUGUUAUUACUGAAAGGAAGAAUAUUUGUAGGAUAUGUCAUGUAUAUUAUCAAAGUGUUUUCAUUCUUACUUUCUUCUUUCUCUUUCAUCUUUUCUUAGUAUAUUUAAGUGAAUUUCUCUCUCUCUCUCUCUCUCUCUCUCUCUCUCUCUCUCUCUCUCUUCUCUCUCUCUCUCUCUCUCUCUCUCUCUCUCUCUCUCUCCAGCCAUCUCUUCUCUCUCCUUCCAUCUUUUUCUUAGUAUAUUUAAGUGAAUUUCUCAGAUCUCUCUCUCUCUCUCUCUCUCUCUCUCUCUCUCUCUCUCUCCUCUCUCUCUCUCUCUCUCUCUCUCUCUCUCUCUCUCUCUCUCUCUCUCUCUCUCUCUCUCUCUCUCUCUCUCUCUCCAGCCAUCUCUUCUCUCUCCUUCCAUCUUUUUCUUAGUAUAUUUAAGUGAAUUUCUCAGAUCUCUCUCUCUCUCUCUCUCUCUCUCUCUCUCUCUCUCUCUCUCUCUCUCUCUCUCUCUCUCUCUCUCUCUCUCUCUCUCUCUCUCUCUCUCUCUCUCUCUCCCUCUUUCUUUCUUUCUUUCUUUCUUUCUUUCUUUCUUUUUCUUUCUUUCUUUCUUUUUCUUUCUUUUUCUUUCUUCCUCUCUCUCUCUCUCUCUCUCUCUCUCUCCUCUCCUCUCUCUCUCUCUCUCUCUCUCUCCAGUAGUCAGUAGUCAGUAGUCAGUGAGGAGGUAGUAGCAAGUAGUGUUCAAGUAGCCUUAGUAAUAGAAUAGUUUGGCUUGCAUGGCAGUGGUUAAAACAUCUACCCUCUCACAUCGUUGGGGUGAGACCACUUGCUUCAUAUGAGCCAAAUGGGGUGACUCCUCCCCUCCCCACCCCUCCCUGUCAAUCUGUGGGUGAGUGUUGCCCAUGCACCUUUAAGGAGAUCAAAUUUGAGAGGUACAUUUUGCUUAUUCCUUCUGAUUAUGCAGGAUUCAACCAUUAAUUUCAUCUCUAUAAAACUCUAUGGGUUUCACUUGCCAUAGACUUGUGGGAUGAAACAAGGGAGAUAAUUUUGCAGUCUACUCUCUUUUUUUCAUCUGUGUUACAGUCUAUGGGUUUCACCUGCCCAGGUUGGUGGUGGUGGGGUGGGAUGGGGUGGGGGAGUUCUAAUACUCUGAGGGGAGCCCUGCUGUAGGUUGUCAAAAGAAAAAUUUAUUAUUAUUAUUUUUUUUUAUUGAUUUUGUUAUUGUUCUCAAGUUCUCAGUAUUAUUAAAACCAGCACUAACAUCUUAUUUUACAGAUCAAUCAAUCAAUACUAUUUCCAAUAAAUAUUUACUAAAUGUUAUUGUUUUAUUAACACUCAAACUACAUUAAUGAUGAGAUGAGUAGAGAGAUUUUGUUUUGGGGUGAGGGAAAAAUUGUGCUUUUGUGAUUUAGAAGGAAGCAUAAAUUGUGUGUUUUGUUGAGUUAAAGGGUAAUUUUAGUAACUUGAGAAGACAAAGGAAGAAAUUGUGUUUGUGAUUUGUAAUAAACACAGGAUGAGGCAGAAAUGUGUGUGUGUGUGUGUGU